ACAAGCAGCGGAGCGUGUGGUUUAAUUCGAUGAUACACGAAGAACCUUACCAGGCUUGACAUGUUGGUAGUAGGGAUCCGAAAGGUGACCGACCCUUCGGGGAGCCUUCACAGGUGCUGCAUGGCUGUCGUCAGCUCGUGUCGUGAGAUGUCCGGUUAAGUCCGGUAACGAGCGCAACCCUCGCUGUGUGUUAUAUGUGUCACACGGGACUGCCGGUAUCAAGCCGGAGGAAGGUGGGGAUGACGUCAAGUCAGCAUGGCCUUUAUGUCUGGGGCUACACACACGCUACAAUGGCCAGUACAAUAGGUUGCAAGACCGCGAGGUGGAGCCAAUCCUUAAAGCUGGUCUCAGUUCGGAUUGCAGGCUGCAACUCGCCUGCAUGAAGUCGGAGUUGCUAGUAACCGCGCGUCAGCUAUAGUGCGUUGAAUACGUUCUCGGGCCUU
rnacentral:rRNA from 1 species